ACAGCCCUAGCAGAACACCUGAGUACCACAGCACAAUGGAAAAACAAAACAAUGCACAGGAAAACAGAAAUGGAAUCUACUAAUCUGAAGUCCUGCAGAAUGACUGUCAGUCAUGUGUGGCAAGGAAGGGAAACACAACCUAACUGCUGCAUGGAAACAGAGGUAAUAUAUGUAUUUAGGUUGCUUCUUUAGAUGAAGCACAACAGUAUUCAAAUCACCUUCCCAUAAAUAGCACAAAUAAGGCUUGAAUGACAAGACUGAUUUAUGCUGAUUGUAGAUCAACCUUUAUAAAGAUCUGACUCAAAGAUGGUGUUAAAUCUUCUAAGACUGUACAAAGAAAAAGAAGUAAUUUGUACAUGGCAUGUACUUUAUUUGAUUACUGAUAUAUUAAAAGUUAUCUUGUUCUAC